AGACCGAUAGCGAACAAGUAGAGUGAUCGAAAGAUGAAAAGCACUUUGAAAAGAGGGUUAAAAAGUACGUGAAAUUGUUGAAAGGGAAGCGUUCAUGACCAGACUUGGGCAGGUUGAUCAUCCGUGGUUCUCCGCGGUGCACUCUGCCUGCCCAGGCCAGCAUCAGUUCGCCCCGGGGGAUAAAGGUUUCGGGAAUGUGGCUCCUCCGGGAGUGUUAUAGCCCGUUGCGUAAUACCCUGGGACGGACUGAGGUUCGCGCUCUGCAAGGAUGCUGGCGUAAUGGUCAUCAACGACCCGUCUUGAAACACGGACCAAG
rnacentral:rRNA from 4 species